AGUCGAACGGCAGCACGGACUUCGGUCUGGUGGCGAGUGGCGAACGGGUGAGUAAUGUAUCGGAACGUGCCUAGUGGGGAUAACUACGCGAAAGCGGUGGAAUGACGUACUACCGCCCUUCGGGGGAAAGCGGGGGACCUUCGGGCCUCGCACUAUUAGGAGCGGCUGAUAUCGGAUUAGCGAAGUUGGUGGGGUAACGGCUCACCAUGACGAUCCGUAGCUACUGAGGAGACGACCUGCUCACACUGGGACGGAGACAUUACCCCAGACUCCUACGGGAGGCAGCAGUGGGGAAUUUUGGACAAUGGGGGAAACCCUGAUCCAGCCAUCCCGCGUGUGUGCGAUAAGGGCCUCGGGCUGUAAAGUAUCUUUGCAGGAAAGAAACGGCACGGGAUAAUACCCCGUGCAACUGACGGUACCUGCAGAAUAAGCACCGGCUAACUACGCCAGCAGCCGCGGUAAUACGUAGGGUGCAAGCGUUAAUCGGAAUUACUGGGCGUAAAGCGUGCGCAGGCGGUUCGGAAAGAAAGAUGUGAAAUCCCAGAGCUUAACUUUGGAACUGCAUUUUUAACUACCGAGCUAGAGUGUGUCAGAGUAGGUAACGGUAGCAGUGAAAUGGCAGAUGAUGCGAGAACAAUCACUUACGAAGGCAGCCUCCUGGGAUAACACUGACGCUCAUGCACGAAAGCGUGGGGAGCAAACAGAUUAGAUACCUUGCAGGUCCAGCGCCUUAAACAGGAUGUCAAUCAGCUGCUGGGCCUGGCCUUGUACAGCGCAGCUUAAUUGGCAGUGAAGUUAACCGCCUGGGGAGUACGGUCGAAGAUUAAAACUCAAAGGAAUUGACGUGUAGGACCCGCACAAGCGUGGACAGAUGUGAUUAAUUGAGAUGCAAACGCGAAAACCUUACCUACCCUGAUAAUGUUCAGUCCCGAAGAUUUGGAGUGCCUCGCAAGAGAACUGGAAUAUGUGCUGCAUGGCUGUCGCCAUCGUGUCGAGAUGUUGGCUAAGUCCUGCAAUUGAGCGCAACCUUGUCAUUAGUUGCUACGAAAGGGCACUCUAAUGACUGCCGUGACAAACUGGAGAAGGUGGGAGAUGACGUCAAGUCCUCACAGUCCUUGCGGGCAGGGCUGACACGUCAUACAAUGGUCGGGACAGAGGGUCGCCAACCGCGAGGGAGCCAACCAUCCCGGCGAAAACCCCGAUUCAGUCCGACUGCAGUCUGCAACUCGACUGCGUAGUCGGAACUGCUAGUAAUCGCGAUCAGCAUGUCGUAGGUAAUACGUUCUCGGUCUUGCAUGGCCACCGCCCGUCACACCAUGGAGUAGCUUUACCGAAGUAGUUAGUCAACCGCGUGAGGGCGAUUACCACGGUGAUCAUGACGGUGAAGUCAAGAACAAGGUAG
rnacentral:rRNA from 1 species